rnacentral:rRNA from 1 species
UGCAAGUCGAGCGGGCUUUACCUUCGGGUAAAGCUAGCGGCGGACGGGUGAGUAACACGUAGGCAACCUGCCUGUAAGACUGGGAUAACUACCGGAAACGGUAGCUAAGACCGGAUAAGUGGUCUUCUCGCAUGAGNAGAUCAAGAAACACGGGGNAACCUGUGGCUUACGGAUGGGCCUGCGGCGCAUUAGCUAGUUGGUGGGGUAACGGCUCACCAAGGCGACGAUGCGUAGCCGACCUGAGAGGGUGAUCGGCCACACUGGGACUGAGACACGGCCCAGACUCCUACGGGAGGCAGCAGUAGGGAAUCUUCCGCAAUGGACGCAAGUCUGACGGAGCAACGCCGCGUGAGUGAUGAAGGUUUUCGGAUCGUAAAGCUCUGUUGCCAGGGAAGAACGUCGUGGAGAGUAACUGCUCUGCGAAUGACGGUACCUGAGAAGAAAGCCCCGGCUAACUACGUGCCAGCAGCCGCGGUAAUAC